rnacentral:rRNA from 1 species
CCUACGGGUGGCUGCAGUGGGGAAUAUUGCACAAUGGGCGCAAGCCUGAUGCAGCCAUGCCGCGUGUGUGAAGAAGGCCUUCGGGUUGUAAAGCACUUUCAGCGGGGAGGAAGGCGUUAAGGUUAAUAACCUUGGCGAUUGACGUCACCCGCAGAAGAAGCACCGGCUAACUCCGUGCCAGCAGCCGCGGUAAUACGGAGGGUGCAAGCGUUAAUCGGAAUUACUGGGCGUAAAGCGCACGCAGGCGGUCUGUCAAGUCGGAUGUGAAAUCCCCGGGCUCAACCUGGGAACUGCAUUCGAUACUGGCAGGCUAGAGUCUUGUAGAGGGGGGUAGAAUUCCAGGUGUAGCGGUGAAAUGCGUAGAGAUCUGGAGGAAUACCGGUGGCGAAGGCGGCCCCCUGGACAAAGACUGACGCUCAGGUGCGAAAGCGUGGGGAGCAAACAGGAUUAGAUACCCUAGUAGUC